rnacentral:tRNA from 1 species
GCUCUCGUAGUCCAACGGCAGUAGACAGUGCACUCAAAAUGCAUCCAGUGUGGGUUCGAAUCCCACCGAGAGCA